rnacentral:rRNA from 1 species
AACGGAGGAAAAGAAACUAACAAGGAUUCCCCUAGUAACGGCGAGUGAAGAGGGAAAAGCCCAAAUUUGUAAUCUGGCUCUUUUAUAAGGGUCCGAGUUGUAAUUUUGAGAACUGUUUUCUGUGCUGGACCAUGUACAAGUCUGUUGAAAAACAGCAUCAUUGAGGGUGAUAAUCCCGUACGUGAUAUGGACUACCAGGGCAAUAUGAUACAGUCUCUAAGAGUCGAGUUGUUUGGGAAUGCAGCUCAAAGUGGGUGGUAAAUUCCAUCUAAGGCUAAAUAUAGGUGAGAGACCGAUAGCAAACAAGUACCGUGAGGGAAAGAUGAAAAGAACUUUGGAAAGAGAGUUAACAGUACGUGAAAUUGUUAAAAGGGAAACAUUUGAAGUUAGACUUGUUAUUGUUGGUUCAGCUUCUUUAUUGAGGUGUAUUCUGAUGAUUAACAGACCAGCAUCAAUUUUUGGGUGUUGGAUAAGGGUUUUGGGAAUGUGGCAGCUUCGGUUGUGUUAUAGACCAUUACUUUGAUACAAUGCUUAGGAUUGAGGAACGCAGUAAGCUUUGUUGCAGAUUUUUUCGGAAGUCUCCUUACUACGGAUGUUGGUGCAAUAGCUUUAAAUGACCCGUC